rnacentral:rRNA from 1 species
AACGAACGCUGGCGGCAGGCUUAACACAUGCAAGUCGAGCGCCCCGCAAGGGGAGCGGCAGACGGGUGAGUAACGCGUGGGAAUCUACCCAUCUCUACGGAAUAACGCAUGGAAACGUGUGCUAAUACCGUAUACGUCCUUCGGGAGAAAGAUUUAUCGGAGAUGGAUGAGCCCGCGUUGGAUUAGCUAGUUGGUGGGGUAAAGGCCUACCAAGGCGACGAUCCAUAGCUGGUCUGAGAGGAUGAUCAGCCACACUGGGACUGAGACACGGCCCAGACUCCUACGGGAGGCAGCAGUGGGGAGUAUUGGACAAUGGGCGCAAGCCUGAUCCAGCCUUGCCGCGUGAGUGAUGAAGGCCCUAGGGUUGUAAGGCUCUUUCACCGGUGAAGAUAAUGACGGUAACCGGAGAAGAAGCCCCGGCUAACUUCGUGCCAGCAGCCGCCGUAAGAC